rnacentral:rRNA from 1 species
AGCUCUAAUAGCGUAUAUUAAAGUUGUUGCAGUUAAAAAGCUCGUAGUUGGACUUUUAUAAUUGAAGGUUGAUCUUCCGUGAAGGAUUGUAUCAACAUAUCAGUUAUACCAUUAUGAAUAUUUCACAUAGAUACUUAAUUGGAUUUAUGGUCACUUGUUGUUUAGGAAUUUCAUACAUUUACUGUGAGUAAAUUAGAGUGUUUAAAGCAAUCUCUUUGGAUUUUGAAUAUCAUUAGCAUGGGAUAAUAAAAUAUGACAUUUCUAUUAUUUUUUAUUGGUUUAUAAUAGAAAAGUAAUGAUUAAUAGGGAUAGUUGUGGGCAUUUGUAUUUAAUUGUCAGAGGUGAAAUUCUUGGAUUUAUGAAAGACAAACUACUGCGAAAGCAUUUGCCAAGGAUGUUU